UGAGUGUGCCAACCUGCAGCAUCCUCCAAGUGUAUGAAGCAUGCAAAGAGGACAGUUCUGAACGCAGAUGAUGUUGACAGUGCUCUCAGCCUCAGGAAUGUUAAGGGAGGUCGAUUUCAAAGAGACAAGGAUAUUAUUGAUAAAUGAAUCAGAUAAAAUUAUUACUGAAUCAAAGAGGCAAGGAUUUCAAAGAGGUCUGCCGCAUAUAUAUUACUGAAGCUACUCUACCCAAACUCUCGACACAGCAGUUGUAGCUCACUGGCUAACUAUUGAGGGCUUCCUCCAGCCUACAAUUCCAGAUAAUCCUCCUAUCGAUGCUUGCAGAUUAUUGAUGUAUUUUCGAAUCUUCAGCUAACAAUUACAAGCUAAAUGUACAACAGAAUGCAUACUUGGCUAAGAGGCCUACCAAAAGUUGAAGCACAUUCGGCUGCAUAUAUUGUGAAUCCAAUCAUUUAGAAAGAGCAGCUGGUCUUCUUAGUCCCGUUGGCUCUGAUUUUAAGCUCUCCAAAGGUGGCUUUGAGAGUGUAUAGAAUCUAUGUUGAUUGUAUUAAGCCUUCCAUCUCCACUGAGGGAAGCAAUGGCUCUAUGGGAUAAAACG